rnacentral:rRNA from 1 species
GACGAACGCUGGCGGCGUGCUUAGCACAUGCAAGUCGAACGGAAAGGCCCUGCUUUUGUGGGGUGCUCGAGUGGCGAACGGGUGAGUAACACGUGAGUAACCUGCCCUUGACUUUGGGAUAACUUCAGGAAACUGGGGCUAAUACCGGAUAGGAGCUCCUGCUGCAUGGUGGGGGUUGGAAAGUUUCGGCGGUUGGGGAUGGACUCGCGGCUUAUCAGCUUGUUGGUGGGGUAGUGGCUUACCAAGGCUUUGACGGGUAGCCGGCCUGAGAGGGUGACCGGCCACAUUGGGACUGAGAUACGGCCCAGACUCCUACGGGAGGCAGCAGUGGGGAAUAUUGCACAAUGGGCGGAAGCCUGAUGCAGCAACGCCGCGUGCGGGAUGACGGCCUUCGGGUUGUAAACCGCUUUCGCCUGUGACGAAGCGUGAGUGACGGUAAUGGGUAAAGAAGCACCGGCUAACUACGUGCCAGCAGCCGCGGUGAUACGUAGGGUGCGAGCGUCGUCCGGAUUUAUUGGGCGUAAAGGGCUCGUAGGUGGUUGAUCGCGUCGGAAGUGUAAUCUUGGGGCUUAACCCUGAGCGUGCUUUCGAUACGGGUUGACUUGAGGAAGGUAGGGGAGAAUGGAAUUCCUGGUGGAGCGGUGGAAUGCGCAGAUAUCAGGAGGAACACCAGUGGCGAAGGCGGUUCUCUGGGCCUUUCCUGACGCUGAGGAGCGAAAGCGUGGGGAGCGAACAGGCUUAGGUACCCUGGUAGUCCACGCUGUAAACGGUGGGUACUAGGUGUGGGGUCCAUUCCACGGGUUCCGUGCCGUAGCUAACGCUUUAAGUACCCCGCCUGGGGAGUACGGCCGCAAGGCUAAAACUCAAAGGAAUUGACGGGGCCCCGCACAAGCGGCGGAGCAUGCGGAUUAAUUCGAUGCAACGCGUAGAACCUUACCUGGGUUUGACAUGGAUCGGGAGUGCUCAGAGAUGGGUGUGCCUCUUUUGGGGUCGGUUCACAGGUGGUGCAUGGCUGUCGUCAGCUCGUGUCGUGAGAUGUUGGGUUAAGUCCCGCAACGAGCGCAACCCUUGUUCACUGUUGCCAGCACGUUAUGGUGGGGACUCAGUGGAGACCGCCGGGGUCAACUCGGAGGAAGGUGGGGAUGACGUCAAGUCAUCAUGCCCCUUAUGUCCAGGGCUUCACGCAUGCUACAAUGGCUGGUACAGAGAGUGGCGAGCCUGUGAGGGUGAGCGAAUCUCGGAAAGCCGGUCUCAGUUCGGAUUGGGGUCUGCAACUCGACCUCAUGAAGUCGGAGUCGCUAGUAAUCGCAGAUCAGCAACGCUGCGGUGAAUACGUUCCCGGG